UUAAGUUAUUAAGGGCGCACGGUGGAUGCCUUGGCACUAGAAGCCGAUGAAGGACGUUACUAACGACGAUAUGCUUUGGGGAGCUGUAAGUAAGCUUUGAUCCAGAGAUUUCCGAAUGGGGAAACCCAGCAUGAGUUAUGUCAUGUUAUCGAUAUGUGAAUACAUAGCAUAUCAGAAGGCACACCCGGAGAACUGAAACAUCUUAGUACCCGGAGGAAGAGAAAGAAAAUUCGAUUCCCUUAGUAGCGGCGAGCGAAACGGGAAGAGCCCAAACCAACAAGCUUGCUUGUUGGGGUUGUAGGACACUCUGUACGGAGUUACAAAGGACGACAUUAGACGAAUCAUCUGGAAAGAUGAAUCAAAGAAGGUAAUAAUCCUGUAGUCGAAAAUGUUGUCUCUCUUGAGUGGAUCCUGAGUACGACGGAGCACGUGAAAUUCCGUCGGAAUCUGGGAGGACCAUCUCCUAAGGCUAAAUACUCUCUAGUGACCGAUAGUGAACCAGUACCGUGAGGGAAAGGUGAAAAGUACCCCGGAAGGGGAGUGAAAUAGAACCUGAAACCGUGUGCUUACAAGUAGUCAGAGCCCGUUAAUGGGUGAUGGCGUGCCUUUUGUAGAAUGAACCGGCGAGUUACGAUUUGAUGCAAGGUUAAGCAGUAAAUGUGGAGCCGUAGCGAAAGCGAGUCUGAAUAGGGCGUUUAGUAUUUGGUCGUAGACCCGAAACCAGGUGAUCUACCCUUGGUCAGGUUGAAGUUCAGGUAACACUGAAUGGAGGACCGAACCGACUUACGUUGAAAAGUGAGCGGAUGAACUGAGGGUAGCGGAGAAAUUCCAAUCGAACCUGGAGAUAGCUGGUUCUCUCCGAAAUAGCUUUAGGGCUAGCCUCAAGUGAUGAUUAUUGGAGGUAGAGCACUGUUUGGACGAGGGGCCCCUCUCGGGUUACCGAAUUCAGACAAACUCCGAAUGCCAAUUAAUUUAACUUGGGAGUCAGAACAUGGGUGAUAAGGUCCGUGUUCGAAAGGGAAACAGCCCAGACCACCAGCUAAGGUCCCAAAAUAUAUGUUAAGUGGAAAAGGAUGUGGCGUUGCCCAGACAACUAGGAUGUUGGCUUAGAAGCAGCCAUCAUUUAAAGAGUGCGUAAUAGCUCACUAGUCGAGUGACACUGCGCCGAAAAUGUACCGGGGCUAAACAUAUUACCGAAGCUGUGGAUUGUCCUUUGGACAAUGGUAGGAGAGCGUUCUAAGGGCGUUGAAGCAUGAUCGUAAGGACAUGUGGAGCGCUUAGAAGUGAGAAUGCCGGUGUGAGUAGCGAAAGACGGGUGAGAAUCCCGUCCACCGAUUGACUAAGGUUUCCAGAGGAAGGCUCGUCCGCUCUGGGUUAGUCGGGUCCUAAGCUGAGGCCGACAGGCGUAGGCGAUGGAUAACAGGUUGAUAUUCCUGUACCACCUAUAAUCGUUUUAAUCGAUGGGGGGACGCAGUAGGAUAGGCGAAGCGUGCGAUUGGAUUGCACGUCUAAGCAGUAAGGCUGAGUAUUAGGCAAAUCCGGUACUCGUUAAGGCUGAGCUGUGAUGGGGAGAAGACAUUGNGUCUUCGAGUCGUUGAUUUCACACUGCCGAGAAAAGCCUCUAGAUAGAAAAUAGGUGCCCGUACCGCAAACCGACACAGGUAGUCAAGAUGAGAAUUCUAAGGUGAGCGAGCGAACUCUCGUUAAGGAACUCGGCAAAAUGACCCCGUAACUUCGGGAGAAGGGGUGCUCUUUAGGGUUAACGCCCAGAAGAGCCGCAGUGAAUAGGCCCAAGCGACUGUUUAUCAAAAACACAGGUCUCUGCUAAACCGUAAGGUGAUGUAUAGGGGCUGACGCCUGCCCGGUGCUGGAAGGUUAAGAGGAGUGGUUAGCUUCUGCGAAGCUACGAAUCGAAGCCCCAGUAAACGGCGGCCGUAACUAUAACGGUCCUAAGGUAGCGAAAUUCCUUGUCGGGUAAGUUCCGACCCGCACGAAAGGCGUAACGAUUUGGGCACUGUCUCAACGAGAGACUCGGUGAAAUCAUAGUACCUGUGAAGAUGCAGGUUACCCGCGACAGGACGGAAAGACCCCGUGGAGCUUUACUGUAGCCUGAUAUUGAAAUUCGGCACAGCUUGUACAGGAUAGGUAGGAGCCUUUGAAACGUGAGCGCUAGCUUACGUGGAGGCGCUGGUGGGAUACUACCCUAGCUGUGUUGGCUUUCUAACCCGCACCACUUAUCGUGGUGGGAGACAGUGUCANGCGGGCAGUUUGACUGGGGCGGUCGCCUCCUAAAAGGUAACGGAGGCGCUCAAAGGUUCCCUCAGAAUGGUUGGAAAUCAUUCAUAGAGUGUAAAGGCAUAAGGGAGCUUGACUGCGAGACCUACAAGUCGAGCAGGGUCGAAAGACGGACUUAGUGAUCCGGUGGUUCCGCAUGGAAGGGCCAUCGCUCAACGGAUAAAAGCUACCCCGGGGAUAACAGGCUUAUCUCCCCCAAGAGUUCACAUCGACGGGGAGGUUUGGCACCUCGAUGUCGGCUCAUCGCAUCCUGGGGCUGUAGUCGGUCCCAAGGGUUGGGCUGUUCGCCCAUUAAAGCGGUACGCGAGCUGGGUUCAGAACGUCGUGAGACAGUUCGGUCCCUAUCCGUCGUGGGCGUAGGAAAUUUGAGAGGAGCUGUCCUUAGUACGAGAGGACCGGGAUGGACAUACCUCUGGUGUACCAGUUGUCGUGCCAACGGCAUAGCUGGGUAGCUAUGUGUGGACGGGAUAAGUGCUGAAAGCAUCUAAGCAUGAAGCCCCCCUCAAGAUGAGAUUUCCCAACUUCGGUUAUAAGAUCCCUCAAAGAUGAUGAGGUUAAUAGGUUCGAGGUGGAAGCAUGGUGACAUGUGGAGCUGACGAAUACUAAUCGAUCGAAGACUUAAUCAA
rnacentral:rRNA from 1 species